GUAGGUGGCAAGCGUUGUCCGGAAUUAUUGGGCGUAAAGCGCGCGCAGGCGGUUCUUUAAGUCUGAUGUGAAAGCCCACGGCUCAACCGUGGAGGGUCAUUGGAAACUGGAGAACUUGGGUACAGAAGAGGAAAGCGGAAUUCCACGUGUAGCGGUGAAAUGCGUGGAGAUGUGGAGGAACACCAGUGGCGAAGGCGGCUUUCUGGUCUGUAACUGACGCUGAGGCGCGAAAGCGUGGGGAGCAAGCAGGGAUUAGAUACCCUGGUAGUCCACGCCGUAAACGUUGAGUGCUAAGUGUUAGGGGGUUUCCCGCCCCUUAGUGCUGCAGCUAACGCAUUAAGCACUCCGCCUGGGGAGUACGGCCGCAAGGCUG
rnacentral:rRNA from 1 species